AGCCGUUGAAAAAUGGCGACUGUUACGGAACUGAAAGCUGGUGAGUGCAUUGAGGGGAUGCUCGGUUGCGGGAAGCGUCGAACCUUCCGUAUAUGAUAGGGAUGGGACAGAAGGAGAGCGCGCGGGACAUCGGCUCAUCUUUUUCCAGGGUCGUUCUAGGGUGGCAGGGCCCACCAGGGGCGGCCUUUGCGCAUGCGCUAUGUUAGGGCCAGCCUUUGAGCUGGAGGAAGGGACUGGUAUCUGUUGUCCCCUCAGGACCUCUGGGUAUCUCUUAGAACCCUACUGAGCAGACAGCGCCCAAAGGCCUGCGUUCCGAGCUGACCACGACAACACCACAGCCACGAUUUGGUGACAGACACACUUCCCAAUGAUUUGCACGGCUAGCCCAUCCGGACGACAACGUAUGGCUAGGUCCUCCUUGUCCUUUGGCAGAAACCUGAGACAGAGUUGUCCAUCCUGGCGGCUCUUCAGGAUUUUUCGGAAGAGGUUUUCCAAAAUGGUUGGUUGUGUGCAGGGUGCAUGCAGGUUCCAUCCCCAGGACUACAAAACAAGGAGUAGACAUCAAUAACGCGUGUAUACUGUUAACUCUGAAUAGUAAUUAGAGUUAACGUUUGAGUUGUAAUUGGAGUUAAGGUUCAGUAUGUGAUUCUAUCAGACCCUUAACAACUCAUCCAACUUGAUUCUGUGUAGCAACGCUAUGUCCAUUUCAUACAUGAGAGUUGGAAUAUUUCAUCCACGAUAAUUUAGAUAGAAAUCGACUCGUGUGGAAACCCCAUAAGGUGCACUGGCUUAAUCAUGCCAUUCUGCUUCCCGUAGAAUAAACCUAGUUCUGAGUGUCAAGGAAUUCAGAGACUAAGCCAACGGUAAUGGAAAUCUGGAGAGAACCAAAUGGAAUAGUUUGGAGACUAAGAUGUAGUAACUAUUGACUGCAUAUGUAUUGGGGACACUGCUGGUGAGCAUUCCAAAAGCAGACAUACCUCAGUCCCCAGGAGGGACUUCACAUGAGUCAAUGAGCUGUUCUGGGGAUGGGAGUAUACAUAGUACAUGUAUAUUGUAUAAACUUUUCAUAGGAUUUCAAGAUAAAGUCUAUGGAAAAGAAGUUGGGUUAAGACCAAUUCCUGAAGGCAUUUUUAUAAUAAUAGCAUUGUAAGCAUAAGACUACAAGUAGC
rnacentral:lncRNA from 1 species